rnacentral:rRNA from 1 species
AGUGAACGCUGGCGGUAGGCCUAACACAUGCAAGUCGAACGGCAGCACAGUAAGAGCUUGCUCUUACGGGUGGCGAGUGGCGGACGGGUGCGGAAUACAUCGGAAUCUACUUUUUCGUGGGGGAUAACGUAGGGAAACUUACGCUAAUACCGCAUACGACCUACGGGUGAAAGCAGGGGAUCUUCGGACCUUGCGCGAUUGAAUGAGCCGAUGUCGGAUUAGCUAGUUGGCGGGGUAAAGGCCCACCAAGGCGACGAUCCGUAGCUGGUCUGAGAGGAUGAACAGCCACACUGGAACUGAGACACGGUCCAGACUCCUACGGGAGGCAGCAGUGGGGAAUAUUGGACAAUGGGCGCAAGCCUGAUCCAGCCAUACCGCGUGGGUGAAGAAGGCCUUCGGGUUGUAAAGCCCUUUUGUUGGGAAAGAAAAGCAGCAGGUUAAUACCCCGCUGUUCUGACGGUACCCAAAGAAUAAGCACCGGCUAACUUCGUG